AAGACCUUGCGCUCCUAGAGCGGCCGAUGUCUGAUUAGCUAGUUGGUGGGGUAAAGGCUUACCAAGGCGACGAUCAGUAGCUGGUCUGAGAGGACGACCAGCCACACUGGGACUGAGACACGGCCCAGACUCCUACGGGAGGCAGCAGUGGGGAAUUUUGGACAAUGGGGGAAACCCUGAUCCAGCCAUGCCGCGUGAGUGAAGAAGGCCUUCGGGUUGUAAAGCUCUUUCAGCCGGAACGAAACGGUCACGGCUAAUACCCGUGACUACUGACGGUACCGGAAGAAGAAGCACCGGCUAACUACGUGCCAGCAGCCGCGGUAAUACGUAGGGUGCAAGCGUUAAUCGGAAUUACUGGGCGUAAAGCGUGCGCAGGCGGUUUUGUAAGUCAGAUGUGAAAGCCCCGGGCUUAACCUGGGAACU
rnacentral:rRNA from 1 species